GACGAACGCUGGCGGCGUGCUUAACACAUGCAAGUCGAACGGAAAGGCCCUGCUUUUGUGGGGUGCUCGAGUGGCGAACGGGUGAGUAACACGUGAGUAACCUGCCCUUGACUUUGGGAUAACUUCAGGAAACUGGGGCUAAUACCGGAUAGGAGCUCCUGCUGCAUGGUGGGGGUUGGAAAGUUUCGGCGGUUGGGGAUGGACUCGCGGCUUAUCAGCUUGUUGGUGGGGUAGUGGCUUACCAAGGCUUUGACGGGUAGCCGGCCUGAGAGGGUGACCGGCCACAUUGGGACUGAGAUACGGCCCAGACUCCUACGGGAGGCAGAAGUGGGGAAUAUUGCACGAUGGGCGGAAGCCUGAUGCAGCAACGCCGCGUGCGGGAUGACGACCUUCGGGUUGUAAACCGCUUUCGCCUGUGACGAAGCGUGAGUGACGGUAAUGGGUAAAGAAGCACCGGCUAACUACGUG
rnacentral:rRNA from 1 species